rnacentral:rRNA from 1 species
AUUGAACGCUGGCGGUAUGCUUAACACAUGCAAGUCGAACGGUAGCAGGCCUUCGGGCGCUGACGAGUGGCGGACGGGUGAGUAACGCGUAGGAAUCUGCCUCAUAGUGGGGGACAACGUGGGGAAACUCACGCUAAUACCGCAUACGCCCUACGGGGGAAAGCGGGGGAUCUUCGGACCUCGCGCUAUGAGAUGAGCCUGCGUUAGAUUAGCUAGUUGGUAGGGUAAAGGCCUACCAAGGCGACGAUCUAUAGCUGGUCUGAGAGGACGAUCAGCCACACUGGGACUGAGACACGGCCCAGACUCCUACGGGAGGCAGCAGUGGGGAAUAUUGGACAAUGGGCGCAAGCCUGAUCCAGCAAUACCGCGUGUGUGAAGAAGGCCUUAGGGUUGUAAAGCACUUUCAAUUGGGAGGAAAACCUGUCGGUCAAUACCCGGC